rnacentral:lncRNA from 1 species
UCCCAUGUAGGCGCCAUGCCCUUAUUUUCUUCUUCUAUUUUUCAAUUUCUUGUUUUUUUUUUUUUUUUUUUCUUUUUUGUGAUUUGAUGUCUUGGAUGAGUGUUUUGUUGGUUCUUUUGUAUAUUUUUUAUGAAGGAUUGUAACGCUUGCCNNNGGGAGCUGCUGGAGGUGCAAGGGAAUGACAGAGGAAGUUGGUUCUUUUCACGUAGACAACCUCACCAGCUUUGUUCCUCCAUAUCUAGAAGAAAGGCGAUGGUUGAGGUAGCGAUAGUGCAUUGAGCUUCCUUUGCCGGUCCGAUUUGCUUAGUGGAUGUGCGUUUUUCAGUCUUAAACCUUUCUUUUCGGUGUGUUCAAAACCCGUGAGUACCCGUGUGAAGUCCAGCCUCCUAUGUUGAUGAAGUUGCUGGGGAAGGAAAGGGAUGUUUCUAGCGACAUGAUUUUAGUGCAGGGACUGUUUGGUAUUUUUUUCAAUAAUUGUAGGCCGUAGAACUGAAUUUAUUUUGCACUUUUAAGCCCAAUUCUUUAAGUAUUACGGACUUUAAACUUAUUUUAUUGAACCUUUUUAUCUAAUUCAAC